rnacentral:rRNA from 1 species
UACGGGUGUGCACUGUCGUGGCCGGUCUACUUCUGGUUUCCAUCUAUACUGCUCUUAACCGGGUGCUAUAGAAUGCCAGAAAGUUUACUCUGAAAAAAUUAGAGUGCUUAAAGCAAGCCGUUGUGCUUGAAUACUGUUGCAUGGAAUAAUGGAAUAGGACCUCGGAUCUAUUUUGUUGGUUUUCGGAGUCGAGGUAAUGAUUAAGAGGGACAGACGGGGGCAUUCGUAUUGCGCCGUGAGAGGUGAAAUUCUUGGAUCGGCGCAAGACGAACAACUGCGAAAGCAUUUGCCAAGGAUGUUUUCAUUAAUCAAGAACGAAAGUCAGAGGUUCGAAGACGAUCAGAUACCGUCUUAGUUCUGACCAUAAACGAUGCCAACUGGCGAUCCGCCGUAGUCUGGCUUAAAGGACUCGGCGGGCAGCCUCCGGGAAACCUAAGUCUAUGGGUUCCGGGGGAAGUAUGGUUGCAAAGCUGAAACUUAAAGGAAUUGACGGACGGGCACCACCAGGAGUGGAGCCUGCGGCUUAAUUUGACUCAACACGGGAAAACUCACCCGGCCAGGACACCGUAACGGAUUGACAGAAUGAGAGCUCUUUCUGGAUUCGGUGGGUGGUGGUGCAUGGCCGUUCUUAGUUGGUGGAGCGAUUUGUCUGGUUAAUUCCGAUAACGAACGAGACUCUAGCCCGCUAAAUAGACGGGCGAUCCCAUUGUGGGUCGACCCGAUCAGCUUUUUAGAGGGACAAGUGG